GCCCGCCUAGCUCAAUCGGAUAGAGCGUCAGACUCUUAGGCGGGUUAGAUCCCAGGAUCAUCUGAAGGCUGCGAGUUCGACCCUCGCGGUGGGCU
rnacentral:tRNA from 1 species